rnacentral:rRNA from 1 species
UACGAAGGGGGCUAGCGUUGCUCGGAAUCACUGGGCGUAAAGGGUGCGUAGGCGGGUCUUUAAGUCAGGGGGGAAAUCCUGGAGCUCAACUCCAGAACUGCCUUUGAUACUGAAGAUCUUGAGUUCGGGAGAGGUGAGUGGAACUGCGAGUGUAGAGGUGAAAUUCGUAGAUAUUCGCAAGAACACCAGUGGCGAAGGCGGCUCACUGGCCCGAUACUGACGCUGGGGCACGAAAGCGUGGGGAGCAAACAGG